rnacentral:rRNA from 1 species
AUUGAACGCUGGCGGCAGGCCUAACACAUGCAAGUCGAACGAGUGGCGGACGGGUGAAUAAUGUCUGGGAAACUGCCCGAUGGAGGGGGAUGACUACUGUAAACGGUAGCUAAUACCGCAUACCAUCGGAUGUGCCCAGGUGGGCUUAGCUAGUAGGUGGGGUAACGGCUCACCUAGGAGAAGAUCCCUAGCUGGUCUGAGAUGAUGACCGGCCACACUGGAGCUGAGACACGGGCCAGAAGCCUACGGGAGGCAGCAGUGGGGAAUAUUGCACAAUGGGCGCAAGCCUGACGCAGCAAUGCCGCGUGUAUGAAGAAGGCCUUCGGGUUGUAAAGUACUUUCCGCGAGGAGGCGUUACUCGAAGAAGAAGCACCGGCUAACUCCGUGCCAGCCGCCGGGGUAAUAC